UACAGAGGUCUCAAGCGUUGUUCGGAUUCAUUGGGCGUAAAGGGUGCGUAGGUGGCGGGGUAAGUCUGGUGUGAAAUCUCGAGGCUCAACCUCGAGACUGCACUUGAUACUGCCUUGCUGGAGUACUGGAGAGGAGAUUGGAAUUUACGGUGUAGCAGUGAAAUGCGUAGAUAUCGUAAGGAAGACCAGUGGCGAAGGCGAAUCUCUGGACAGUUACUGACACUGAGGCACGAAGGCCAGGGGAGCAAACGGG
rnacentral:rRNA from 1 species